AGAGUUUGAUCAUGGCUCAGAUUGAACGCUGGCGGCAUGCCUUACACAUGCAAGUCGAACGGUAACAGGUCUUCGGAUGCUGACGAGUGGCGAACGGGUGAGUAAUACAUCGGAACGUGCCCGAUCGUGGGGGAUAACGAAGCGAAAGCUUUGCUAAUACCGCAUACGAUCUACGGAUGAAAGCAGGGGACCGCAAGGCCUUGCGCGAACGGAGCGGCCGAUGGCAGAUUAGGUAGUUGGUGGGAUAAAAGCUUACCAAGCCGACGAUCUGUAGCUGGUCUGAGAGGACGACCAGCCACACUGGGACUGAGACACGGCCCAGACUCCUACGGGAGGCAGCAGUGGGGAAUUUUGGACAAUGGGCGAAAGCCUGAUCCAGCCAUGCCGCGUGCAGGAUGAAGGCCUUCGGGUUGUAAACUGCUUUUGUACGGAACGAAAAGACUCUGGUUAAUACCUGGGGCCCAUGACGGUACCGUAAGAAUAAGCACCGGCUAACUACGUGCCAGCAGCCGCGGUAAUACGUAGGGUGCAAGCGUUAAUCGGAAUUACUGGGCGUAAAGCGUGCGCAGGCGGUUAUAUAAGACAGAUGUGAAAUCCCCGGGCUCAACCUGGGAACUGCAUUUGUGACUGUAUAGCUAGAGUACGGCAGAGGGGGAUGGAAUUCCGCGUGUAGCAGUGAAAUGCGUAGAUAUGCGGAGGAACACCGAUGGCGAAGGCAAUCCCCUGGGCCUGUACUGACGCUCAUGCACGAAAGCGUGGGGAGCAAACAGGAUUAGAUACCCCGGUAGUCCAA
rnacentral:rRNA from 1 species